CGGCGGACGGGUGAGUAAUGCCUAGGAAUCUGCCUGGUAGUGGGGGAUAACGUUCCGAAAGGAACGCUAAUACCGCAUACGUCCUACGGGAGAAAGCAGGGGACCUUCGGGCCUUGCGCUAUCAGAUGAGCCUAGGUCGGAUUAGCUAGUUGGUGAGGUAAUGGCUCACCAAGGCGACGAUCCGUAACUGGUCUGAGAGGAUGAUCAGUCACACUGGAACUGAGACACGGUCCAGACUCCUACGGGAGGCAGCAGUGGGGAAUAUUGGACAAUGGGCGAAAGCCUGAUCCAGCCAUGCCGCGUGUGUGAAGAAGGUCUUCGGAUUGUAAAGCACUUUAAGUUGGGAGGAAGGGCAUUAACCUAAUACGUUAGUGUUUUGACGUUACCGACAGAAUAAGCACCGGCUAACUUCGUGCCAGCAGCC
rnacentral:rRNA from 1 species